CCUACGGUGGGCAGCAGUGAGGAAUAUUGGUCAAUGGGCGUAAGCCUGAACCAGCCAAGUCGCGUGAGGGAUGAAGGUUCUAUGGAUCGUAAACCUCUUUUAUAAGGGCAUAAUGUGCGGGUCGUGUCCCGUUUUGUAUGUACCUUCUGAAUUAGGAUCGGCUAACUCCGUGCCAGCAGCCACGGUAAUACGGAGGAUCCGAGCGUUAUCCGGAUUUAUUGGGUUUAAAGGGUGCGUAGGCGGCCUUUUAAGUCGGCGGGGAAAGUUUGUGGCGCAACCAUAGAAUUGCCGUUGAAACUGGGAGGCUUGAGUAUGUUUGAGGCAGGCGGAAGGCGUGGUGUAGCGGUGAAAUGCUUAGAUAUCACGAAGAACCCCGAUGGCGAAGGCAGCCUGCCAAGCCAUGACUGACGCUGAUGCACGAAAGCGUGGGGAUCAAACAGGAUUAGAUACCCGGGUAGUC
rnacentral:rRNA from 1 species